rnacentral:rRNA from 1 species
UGGGUAAUAUUGCACAAUGGGCGCAAGCCUGAUGCAGCCAUGCCGCGUGUAUGAAGAAGGCCUUCGGGUUGUAAAGUACUUUCAGCGGGGCGGAAGGGAGUAAAGUUAAUACCUUUGCUCAUUGACGUUACCCGCAGAAGAAGCACCGGCUAACUCCGUGCCAGCAGCCGCGGUAAUACGGAGGGUGCAAGCGUUAAUCGGAAUUACUGGGCGUAAAGCGCACGCAGGCGGUUUGUUAAGUCAGAUGUGAAAUCCCCGGGCUCAACCUGGGAACUGCAUCUGAUACUGGCAAGCUUGAGUCUCGUAGAGGGGGGUAGAAUUCCAGGUGUAGCGGUGAAAUGCGUAGAGAUCUGGAGGAAUACCGGUGGCGAAGGCGGCCCCCUGGAAGAAGACUGACGCUCAGGUGCGAAAGAGUGGGGAGCAAACAGG